GUGCUGCCUUUUAGCCCUAGCUACGCCUGCAUGUUGGGGGGGGAUGCAGGGGAGGGCUUGUCAAGCUGCUGCACCAGAGUACAUGCCUGUGCAUAACUGGGGCCUGGGGUCACUUGCCCCACUCAGGAGCAACACUG